GACGAACUGUCCUAACGUUGUUCGGAAUCACUGGGCUUAAAGGGCGCGUAGGCGGUCUGACAAGUCAGGGGUGAAAUCCUGCAGCUUAACUGUAGAAGUGCCUUUGAUACUGUCAGUCUUGAGGGAAAUAGGGGUGUGCGGAACUUCCAGUGGAGCGGUGAAAUGCGUUGAUAUUGGAAGGAACGCCGGAGGCGAAAGCGGCGCACUGGAUUUCUUCUGACGCUGAGGCGCGAAAGCUAGGGGAGCAAACGGG
rnacentral:rRNA from 1 species